rnacentral:ncRNA from 1 species
UAUUCGACAUAUUAACAUAUUCGUAUAAUCCUGCGGAUUGGCGCAGGAGUCUCUACGUGAUCACCGGAAUGAUCUCUCUACGGAAAUUAGUACCUGUCAG